CAGCAACUCCGGCCUCAAGCAGCCACUCCCAGUCCUGGCUGUACUUGAGAGUCACCUGGAGGUCUUCAAAAAGCACUGAUCUCUGGGGAUUCUGACCUCAGUGGCCUGAGGAAAGUGUUCUCUGAGCUCCAGCUCAACUACCUUGUGGGAGGAGGAGCAGCUUGGUGGCCUCACUGGGGACAGAACAGUUCUGCCAGCUCAGGAUGCUCCUUGCCCUAUCUUCACCCUACAUCCUGGAUGCUGCCAAUUAAUGCCACUCAGUGAAGAUGAAGGUUGUCCAGUUGAGAAGUGACCCAGGAACCAGGCUUCAGAACCCCUGAUCUAGAUCAAUGUUUUCUAAACUUGCUCCAUCACAGGAACCAGCUGAGAGUGUUGCUCCUGUUCAUGCUGAUUCCCAGGCCUCAUCCAGCCCCACCGCACCAAAGUUUCCAGGAGACUCUAGAAUGUGUGUCUUUGGCAAGAGUCCCCCAAAUAACAGCUCCCGCUUAUUAGGAACUUAAACUGUGCCAGGCAUUGUGUUAAGGACCUUUAAUUCAUUCAUUUAAUCCUCACAAGAAACUAGAUUAGUUAGCAACAU